rnacentral:SRP_RNA from 1 species
ACGCCGCAAUCUCGUUAGGACCGGAAGAAAGCAA